AGAGUUUGAUCCUGGCUCAGGACGAACGCUGGCGGCGCGCCUAACACAUGCAAGUCGAACGGUUAAAGCACCUUCGGGUGUGUAUAAAGUGGCGAACGGCUGAGUAACACGUGGGCAACCUGCCUCUUGCUCUGGGAUAGCCUCGGGAAACCGAGGAUAAUACCGGAUACUCCGUACCUUUCGCAUGGAGGGGACGGGAAAGCGCAUACGGCAAGAGAUGGGCCCGCGGCCUGUUAGCUUGUUGGUGGGGUAACGGCCUACCAAGGCAAUGAUGGGUAGCUGGGUUGAGAGACCGACCAGCCAGAUUGGGACUGAGACACGGCCCAGACUCCUACGGGAGGCAGCAGUGGGGAAUCUUGCACAAUGGGCGAAAGCCUGAUGCAGCGACGCCGCGUGCGGGAUGAAGGCCCUAUGGGUUGUAAACCGCUUUCAGCAGGGAAGAGGCCGCAAGGUGACGGUACCUGCAGAAGAAGCCCCGGCUAACUACGUGCCAGCAGCCGCGGUAAUACGUAGGGGGCAAGCGUUAUCCGGAUUCAUUGGGCGUAAAGCGCUCGUAGGCGGCUUGUUAGGUCGGGAGUCAAAUCCCGGGGCUCAACCCCGGCACGCUUCCGAUACCGGCAGGCUUGAGUUUGGUAGGGGAAAGUGGAAUUCCAAGUGUAGCGGUGGAAUGCGCAGAUAUUUGGAAGAACACCAGUGGCGAAGGCGGCUUUCUGGGCCAUAACUGACGCUGAGGAGCGAAAGCUAGGGGAGCAAACAGGAUUAGAUACCCUGGUAGUCCUAGCCGUAAACGAUGGACACUAGGUGUGGGGGAAUAUUUCUUCCGUGCCGCAGCUAACGCAUUAAGUGUCCCGCCUGGGGGAGUACGGCCGCCAAGGCUAAAACUUCAAAUGAAAUUGACGGG
rnacentral:rRNA from 1 species